CUACGGGUGGCAGCAGUGGGGAAUUUUGGACAAUGGGCGCAAGCCUGAUCCAGCCAUUCCGCGUGAGUGAAGAAGGCCUUCGGGUUGUAAAGCUCUUUCGCAAGGGAAGAAAACUUAUCCUCUAACAUAGGGUGAGGUUGACGGUACCUUGAUAAGAAGCACCGGCUAACUACGUGCCAGCAGCGCGCGGUAAUACGUAGGGUGCGAGCGUUAAUCGGAAUUACUGGGCGUAAAGCGUGCGCAGGCUGUUUUGUAAGUCAGAUGUGAAAUCCCCGAGCUCAACUUGGGAACUGCGUUUGAAACUACAAGACUAGAAUAUGUCAGAGGGGGGUAGAAUUCCAUGUGUAGCAGUGAAAUGCGUAGAGAUGUGGAGGAAUACCAAUGGCGAAGGCAGCCCCCUGGGAUAAUAUUGACGCUCAUGCACGAAAGCGUGGGGAGCAAACAGGAUUAGAUACCCGGGUAGUC
rnacentral:rRNA from 1 species